UGGGGAAUAUUGGACAAUGGGCGCAAGCCUGAUCCAGCCAUACCGCAUGGGUGAAGAAGGCCUUCGGGUGUAAAGCCCUUUUGUUGGGAAAGAAAAGCAGCCGGUUAAUACCCCGGGGUUCUGACGGUACCGGAAGAAUAAGCACCGGCUAACUUCGUGCCAGCAGCCGCGGUAAUACGAAGGGUGCAAGCGUUACUCGGAAUUACUGGGCGUAAAGCGUGCGUAGGUGGUUGUUUAAGUCUGAUGUGAAAGCCCUGGGCUCAACCUGGGAAUGGCAUUGGAAACUGGGCAGCUAGAGUGCGGUAGAGGGUAGUGGAAUUCCCGGUGUAGCAGUGAAAUGCGUAGAGAUCGGGAGGAACAUCGGUGGCGAAGGCGACUGCCUGGACCAGCACUGACACUGAGGCACGAUAGCGUGGGGAGCAAACA
rnacentral:rRNA from 1 species